rnacentral:rRNA from 1 species
GAGUUUGAUCAUUGGCUCAGGAUGAACGCUAGCGGCAGGCUUAACACAUGCAAGUCGAGGGGUAGAGUUAGCUUGCUAACUUGAGACCGGCGCACGGGUGCGUAACGCGUAUGCAAUCUACCUUGUACAGGGGGAUAGCCCAGAGAAAUUUGGAUUAAUACCCCAUAGUGUUAUGAUGUGGCAUCACACUAUAACUAAAGUUCCAACGGUACAAGAUGAGCAUGCGUCCCAUUAGCUAGUUGGUGUGGUAACGGCAUACCAAGGCAACGAUGGGUAGGGGUCCUGAGAGGGAGAUCCCCCACACUGGUACUGAGACACGGACCAGACUCCUACGGGAGGCAGCAGUGAGGAAUAUUGGUCAAUGGGCGCAAGCCUGAACCAGCCAUGCCGCGUGCAGGAUGACGGUCCUAUGGAUUGUAAACUGCUUUUGUACAGGAAGAAACACUCCCUCGUGAGGGAGCUUGACGGUACUGUAAGAAUAAGGAUCGGCUAACUCCGUGCCA